rnacentral:rRNA from 1 species
GAUGAACGCUGACAGAAUGCUUAACACAUGCCAGUCCACUUGAAUUUGGGUUUUUAACUUAGGUUUGGGUGGCGGACGGGUGAGUAACGCGUAAAGAACUUGCCUCACAGCUAGGGACAACAUUUGGAAACGAAUGCUAAUACCUAAUAUUAUGAUAAUAGGGCAUCCUAUAAUUAUGAAAGCUAUAAGCGCUGUGAGAGAGCUUUGCGUCCCAUUAGCUAGUUGGAGAGGUAACGGCUCACCAAGGCGAUGAUGGGUAGCCGGCCUGAGAGGGUGAUCGGCCACAAGGGGACUGAGACACGGCCCUUACUCCUACGGGAGGCAGCAAUGGGGAAUAUUGGACAAUGGACCGAGAGUCUGAUACAGCAAUUCUGUGUGCACGAUGAAGUUUUUCGGAAUGUAAAGUGCUUUCAGUUGGGAAGAAACAAAUGACGGUACCAACAGAAGAAGUGACGGCUAAAUACGUG